rnacentral:lncRNA from 1 species
AAAAUUUGUAGACUAGUUUGACUUUAGAGGACCUUCCUAAUUAAAAUCUUUCUUUUUAGCCUUAAAAAUACUGGCCGAAUCAAAGCAAACAAGUGAACUUGAAAAUGGACCACAAAGAAAGAUGAACACAUUGCCCUGGAUGAACACAUCCUUCGGACCUGCUCACUCCACUGGGAUGGUUUGAAGGCAGAUUUGGCCUCCCUACUGGCCUGUGGGCUCUUGGAAGGGAGGGCAUUUGUCUUGUUCGCAGGUGAGCAAUUUGGAGCC